ACCCAGUGAGUUAACUCUAAAUGAACCAGUCACUGACUUGUAAUAAGGAUCUUUUCUCUUCUUCCAGGAAAGAGCUUCAUCUGUCCGCUGACCUCGAAUGCAGCUGUGAGGCCUUGAAGACAUGACGUGUGCUUCCAUUGGUGGACUGACUUAAUGACAUCAGAGCAGGUGCUGUGCUUUGUGGACAGACGUUGAGAUCCUGUGGUCAACCAUGAAUAUCAAGAACGUGUCAAUGUUUGUGUGAAAUUGUGUCAAUAAAUGGGAAAAAUAAAUGCUGUGUCCGGUGUCUUUAAUUUAGGAGAAAAGUACAAAUAAAGGCUGCAAUAAUCAUUGGUAAAGUAGAUGGACAAACUGAAAUAUCUAGUGGCAUGUAAAUGAGCUUUAUGUGUAAUUUAGAAAACUUGGUUCAAAGGAUGUAAUAAAAUGAGGUUUAUAACAUUUACACAUGUAAUGAGCACAUUUAAAAUGGACAUGAUGUAAUAUUGGUCUAUAAAAUGACUGACUGGUUUGAACCAUGGUCCCCUUUACUGUGAACUGUAGAACAUUUCUGCACGAGACUACC
rnacentral:lncRNA from 1 species